rnacentral:lncRNA from 1 species
CACUACUUCCCUCACCGGCAGCAGCAAUCCCAGUAUCUAGGGGAGGGAGUUAAAUUCUCUCUUACCCCAUUCAUGCUCCCCUGAGGGCAGCUCCAGCCUCUCUGCCCUCCGUGUUUGGCUGCUGUGGGUCUCUGACAAUCUCUGUUUUAUUAGAAUUAUUGGUUGAAAUUCAGUGAUUUGUUUUUUGUUGUAGUUUGGAAGGGAGAGAGUCCCAGGUGAGCUCACUCUGCCACAUCACUUAUGUCACCACCCUGCAGGACAUGAUUGAUCCACCCACUGGACACCACUGACCCACCUGCGGAACACAGCUAAACCACCCACUGAACACAUCGGAAUCAGCUGCUGGGCAUGCAUGACCCACCUGCAGGACACUCCAGAACUGCAUGCUAGAUAUGCUGGAAACACCUGCCGGACAUACCAGAACCACCUGUUGGAUACAUCAGAACCAGGUGACCAAUAAGUUGAAACCACCUGCUGGAUACACUGGAACCUGGUGCUGGAUGCCGGAACCACCUACUGGAUACACUGGAAUCACCUGCUGGACACACCAUAACCAGGUGCCAGAUACGCCAAUAUCACCUGCCACACAUGCCUGAAUGAGGUGCCUGACAUGCCAGAACCACCUGCAGGACAUGCCUGAAAUGCCUGCCAGACAUGCAUGAACCACCUGCUGGAAACACCAGAUACAGGUGUUGCAAAUGCUGGAACCAGGUGCCAGACCACAGAACCACCUCCCUGAUAGGCUGGAACCACCAGCCAGAAAUGCCAGAACCAGGUGUCAGACAUACCAGAACCACCUGGAAGACACACCAGAACCAUGUGCCAGACAUGCCAGAAUCAGCUGAAGGAGAAGCCUGAACCACCUACCAGAUAUGCCUGAAUCACUUGAUGUACAGUCUGGAACUUCCUGUUGGGCAUGGGGCACCACCUGCCAGAUAAGCCAGAGCAAGUUGCCUGACAUGGCAGAACCACCUGCUCGACACACCUGAACUGCCUGCCAGAUGUGCCUGAACCACCUGCUGGAUAUGCCAGAAACAGGUGUCACAACAUGCCGGAACCAGGUGCUGGACAAGACUGAACCACCUGCUGGACAGCACUGAUCCACCUGUGAAACACGGCUGAAUGACUGGCCAGAUACAUUGGAACCACCUGCCAGACAUGAUGGAAUGACCUUCUGGACAUGCUGGAACCACUAUCCAGACACGCCGAAACCAUGAAGCCAACAUGAUAGGAUCAGGUCCUGGACAUGCCAUAACCACCUGCCGGACAUGCCGGAAUCAUCCACUGGACACUUCAGAACCAACUUCCAGACAUACUGGAAACUCAUGCCAGACACACAGGAACCUCCUGCCUGAUGUGCCGGAACCACCUGAAUGACACACUGGUACCACUGGCAGGAUAUGCUGGAACCACCUGCCAGACAAAGCUGAACCACCAGCCAGACAAAACUGAACCACCUGCUGGAUACAUCUGAACCACUUGAUGGACAAUCUGGAUCAAAAUGCCAGGCACUCUGGAACCACAUGUCAGAUAUGCCAGAACCAGGUGCCAGACCUGCUGAAACCACCUGCCGAAUACACCAGAACCAGGUGCCAGACAUGGUGGAAACACCUGCCAGAAAUGUCCAAAUCACCUGUCAGAUACGCUGAAACCAUGUGCGGGACACACCAGAACCACCUCCUGGACACAGCAGAACCAAAUACCAGAUACACCAGAAACUGCUCCAGCACAGGCCGGAACCAGGUGCCACACAAGCCUGAAGCAGCUGCCGGAGUAGAAUGAACCACCUGCAGGACAAGCCUGGACCACCUGCCAGAAUUGUGUGAACCACCUGCCAGACAUGCCUCAUCCACCUGCUGGAUACACUAGAAACAGGUGUUGCUCAUGCCAAAACCAGGUGCUGGACAUGACUGAACCACCUGCUGGACAUGCAGGAACCACCUGACUGACACCUGGAACUACCUGCCAGACACUACAGAACCACCUUCUGGACAUGCUGGAACCACACCCGGAUAUGCUGCAACCAACCGAAAGAAAGCACUGAUCCACCUAUUGUAUAGCACUGAUCCACCUGCCAAACACAGCUCAACCACCGGUCGGACACACUGGAACCACGUGCAUUACACCCCGGAACCACCUGCUGGACAUGCCAGAACCUCCUGUCAGAUACACCAGAACCAGGUGCUAGACACUGAGAAACCAUCUAACGGAUAUGCCAGAACCAAGUGCUGGACAUGCCAGAACCACCUGCCGGACAAAACUGAACCACCCAUCAGACAAGACUGAACCAAGUGACGGAUACCCCUGAACCACUAGAUGGAUGCUCUGUAGCCACCUGACAGAAACGCUGAAAUCACCUGCCAGAUACACUGGAACCAGGCCCCUUAUAUGCUGGAACAACAUGCCACACAUGCCAGAACCACCAGCUGGACACACUGGAACCACCACUCAGACACGCCGGAGCCACCCAACAGACGUGCUAGAACAAACUGCAGGACACACCAAAAUCACCUGCCAGAUAUGCCGGAACCUGGUCCUCAAUAUGCCAGAAACAACUUCCACAUAGACUGGAAAACCUGUCAUACACGCCAAAAUCACCUGUUGGACACACUGGAACCACCACCCAGACAUGCUGAAACCACCACCCAACAUGACGGAAUCAGGUCCCUGGCACACUGUAGCCACCUGCCGGACACUUCGGAAUCACCCACUGGACAUGCAUGAACCAACUGCCGGGCACCUCAGAACCACCCACCAGACACGUUGGAACCACCACACAGACAUGCUGGAACCACUGGCCACACACACCAGAACCAACUGCUGGACACACCGGAAGCACCCACUGGACAUGCCAGAAUCACCUUCCGAAUAUAACAGAACCACCUGCCAGACACACUGGAACCACCUGUUGGAUAUGCCAGAACCAGGUGCCAGAUACACUGAAACUACCUGCUGAAUAUGCCAGAACGGGGUGCUGGACAUGGCGGAACCUGAUGCCCUAAGUUCAGAAUCAUCUGCUGGACACGCCUGAACAACCUGCCAGACUUGCAUGAAACACCAGCCAGACACACCAGAAUCACCUGCCAGAUACGAUAGAAAAAAGGGUCGCAUGCGCUGAAACCAAGUGCAGGACAUGAAUGAACCACACGCUGGAUACACCAGAAACAGGUGUUGCACAUGCCAGAACCAGGUGCUGGAUACGACAGAACCAAGUGACAGACAAGCCUGAACCACCUGCAGGACACAUUGUAACCACCUUCAGGAUGUGCCGGAACCCCAAUGGCAAAUGGUGCAUAUGCCAUUUCCACCUGCUGAACACGCUGGAGCCAGGUGCUGGACAUGCUGGAACCCCAGGCCAGACACACUCAAAUGACACACCAGACAUUCCGAACCACUUGCCGGAAACACCCAGACCACCUGACAUACACCCCCAAAGCACCUCCCGGAGAGGACUGAAUCAGAUGCUGGAAAUGCCCAAACCAUCUUUUGGACAAGUCAGAACCACGUUUCAGAAAUGCCUGGACCACAAGACGGCCAUGCCUGGACCAUGUGCCAGAUGCACCUGGACCAGCUGACAUAUAUGCCUGAACAACCUGCUGGACAUGCCGGAACUACCAGCCGGAUAUACAGGAACCAUCCACCGGAAACGCCUGAACCACCAGCUGACAGGCUGGAACCAACUCCCAGACAUGUCAGGACCACCACCUGGAAACUCUGGAACGACCCCCAGAGAUGCCAGAAUCGGGCCCCAGACACGCUGCAAGCACCUGCCGGAUACGCUGGGACAGCAUGUGGGAACUGCCAUAAUCACCCGCUGGACAUGAUGGAACCACCAUCUGUAAACGCUGGAACCGCCUGACUGACACACUGGAACCACAUGCCAGGCAUGACGGAAGCACCAUCUGGAAACACCAGAACCAUCCCUGGACAUGCUGCACCCAACUCUGGACACAACUGAUCCACCUGCUGGACAGCACUGAUCCACCCACCAAACAUGGCUGAACCAUUGGUCGGACACACCAGAACCACCUGCCUGACAAACCGGAACCACCUGCCAGACACGACGGAACCAACUGUCGGAUACAGCUACCUAGGUGCCGGACACUGUGUAACCAUCUGCCGGAUAUGCCAGAACCAGGUGCCAGACAUGCCAAAACAACCUGCCGGCCAAACCGGAACCACGUGCCAGACACGCUGGAACAACUAAAUGGUCACACCAAAAUCACCUGCCAGAUAUGCCAGAACCAGGUCCCAGAUACACCUGAACCAACUUCUGGACAGGCCAGACAAACCUGCCAGAAAUGCCGGAACCACCACACAGACAAGCAGAAAACACCAAACCGACACGAUAGAAUCAUGUCCCAGACACGCUGGAAUCACCCUCUGGACAUGUGGGAACCAACUUCCAGACACCCUGGAAACACGAAGCCAACAUGAUGGGAUCAGGUCCUGCACAUGCUGUAACCACCUGCCAGACACACCCAAAUCACCCACUGGACACUUCAGAACCACCUUCCAGACAUAUUGGAAGCACAUGCCAGACACACAGGAACCCCUUGCCUAACAGGCUGGAACCACCUGAAUGACAUGCUGGUACCACUGGCAGAACAUGCCGGAACCACUUGCCAGACAAAGCUGAACGACCAGUCAGACAAGACUGAACCACCUGCCAGAUAUGCCUGAACCACUUGACGGACAAUCUGGAACCACAUGCCAGGCACGCCGGAACCACUUGUCAGAUAUGCCAGAACCAGGUGCCAGACGGGCUGAAACCACCUUCCAGAGAGGCCUGAACCACCUGCUGGACACGCCUGAGCCACCUGCUGGACACACCACACCCAACUGCUAGACUCGUUGGAACCACCUGCAGGACGUGCCAAUAUCACCUGCAGGAUAUGCCAGAACCAGGCCCCUCAUACACCAGAACAACACAACAGACAUGCUGCAACCACACGCUGGACAGACUGGAACCACCACUCAGACAUGCCAGGACCACAUGCCAAACAGACCCGAACCACCUUCCGAAUGUACCAGCAUCACAUGCCAGACACACCUGAACCACCUGCCAGACAUGCUGGAACCAGGUGCCAAAUGCACUGAAACCACCUGCCGAAUAUGCCAGAACCAGUUGCCAGACAUGGCAGAAACACCUGCUGGACACGUCCAAGUCACCUGUCAUAUACGCAGAAACCAUGUGCCAGACACGCCAGAACCAUCUGCCGGGUAUGCCAGAAACAGGUCCAGCACAGCCCGGAACCAGGUGCUGGACAAGCCUAGUGCAAGCUAGCUGCUGCAAGACUAGUCUGAAACACCUGCUGGACCAGCCUGAACCACUUUACGGACAUUCCAGAACCACAUGCCGGGAGCACCAGAACUGGUGCCCGACAUGCCAGAAACACCAGCUGGAGAUGCCUGAACCACCUGCCAGACCUGCGUGAACUAACUGCUGGACACACCAGAACCACCUGCCAGAUACAUCAGACACAGGUGUCACACACACCGGAACCAGGUGCUGGACGCAACUGAACAGACUGCCAGACAAGCCAGAACCACCUGCUGGACACGACUGAACUACCUACCAGACACGUCGGAACCACCUUGAGGAUGCACUGGAACCAUGUGGUGGACAUGCCGGAACCACCUGCUGAACACGCCGGAGCCAGGUACUGAACACACCAGAACCAUCUGCUGGACAUACCGGAAACGAAGUCGACAUUCUGGAAAGACACGCUGGACAUGCCGGAACCACUUGCCAGACACACCUGGACUACCUGCCAGACUUGCUUGAGCCACCUCCUGGACAUGCUGGAGCCACCUGCUGGACAUGCCUGAACCACCUGCCAGACCCACCGUAACCACCUGCUUGACUUGCCGGAACCACAGGCUGGACACGCCAAAAUCACCUGCAAGAUACGCCAGAACCAGACCCCUUAUAUGUUGGAAAAACUCACCAGACAUGCCAGAACCACCCGCCGGGUACACUGGAACCACCACUCAGACACAUCUUAACCACCCACCACAUACACUGUAACCAAAUGCCGGACACACUGGAAGAACCCAAUGGACACUCCAGAACCACCUUCUGAACGUACCAGAACCACAUGCCAGACACACAGGAACCACCUGCCAGACACGCCUGAACCACCUCUUGGAUAUGCCAUAACCAGGUGCUGCACACAAGGAAACCACCUGCCGAAUACACCAGAACCAGGUGCCAGACACGGCAGAAACACGUGCCACACAUGUCUGAAUCUCCUGUCAGAUACGCCAAAACCAUGUGCGGGACAUGCCAGAACCACCUCCUGGACACGCUGGAACCAUCCACUGGAUACACCAGAAACACCAGGUCCAGCACAGGCCAGAACCAGGUGCUGGACAAGCCUGAAGCAGCUGCUGGACUAGGCUGAACCACCUGCUGAACCAGUCUGAACCACCUUGUGAACAUUCUGGAACCACAUGCUGGGCAUGCCAGAACCAGAUGCCCUACAAGCCAAAACCACUGGCUGGACAUGCCUGAAUCACCUGCCAGACUUGCGUGAACCAACUGCUGGACACGCCAGAAUCACCUGCCAGAUACGCCAGAAACAGUUGUCACACACGCCAGAACCAGGUGCUGGACACGACUGAACAACCUGCCGGACAAGUCUGAGCCAUCAGCCAGCCAUGCCAUAACCACCUUAAGGAUGUGCCAGAACCAUCACGUGGACAUGCUGGAACGACCUGCUUAACACACCAGAGCCAGGUGCCAGACACAAAGGGAGCGCCUGCUGGACUCAAUGAAACCACCUGCCAGAAAUGCCAAAAUCACCUGCCUGAUACACUGGAACCAGGAUAUUUAUACGCCAGAACAACCCACCAGACAUGCCAGAACCACCCACCGGACACACUGGAACCAAAUGCAGGACAUGACAGAAGCACCCACUGGACACGCUGGAACCACCUUCUGAAUGUACCAGAACCACAUGCCAGACACACAGGAACCACCUGCCAGACACGCUGGAACCACCUGUUGGAUAUGCCAGAACCAGGUGCCAGAUAGACUGAAACCACCUGCUGAAUAUGCCAGAACCAGGUUCCAGACAUAAAGGAAACACGUGCCACAGACGUGUAAGUCACCUGUCAGAUAUGCCAAAACCAUGUGAUGGACACAUCGAAACCAACUCCCUGACACAGCAGAACCAUCUUCCAGAUAUGCCAGAAACAGACGUAUCCAGCAGCUAAUUUCAAAGUGUCCGCCAGGUGGUUCCGGCGUAUCUGGCACCUCGUUCCGGCAUAUCCAGCAUGUAGUUUCAGUGAAUCAGGCACCUGGUUCCAGUGUACCCGACAGGUGGUUCCGGCGUGACUGGAGCGUGGUUCUGGUGUGUCCAGCAGGUAGUUCUGGUGUGCCAUUCAGGUGGUUCUGGCAUGUAGGGCAGGUGGUUCCAGCAGGUCAUGCAGGUGGUUCCGGCAUGUCUUCUGGGUGGAUGAAUCAUGUCCUCCUGGUGAUUGAGGUGUGUUGGGUGGGUGGUUCAGGCUGGUCUGGCAGGUUUUUCAGGCUUGUCUGGCAGCUGGUUCCAGCAUUCCUGCCACCUGGUUCUGGUGUAACUGGCGGGUGGUGCCAGUGUGUCCUGGAGGUGGUUCCAGCGUGUCUGGUGGGUGAUUCCUGAGUGUCAGUCAGCUGGUUCCGGCGUGUCAGUCAGGUGGUUCUGGUGUGUCUGGAAGGUGGUUCCGGUAUGUCUGAGGAGUGGUUCUGGCGUGUCCAGAAUGUGGUUCCAUUGUGUCCAGCAGGUGGUUCCAUUGUGUCAGUCAUGUGGUUCCAGCAUGUCUGGAACAUGAUUCUGUUGUGUCUAGCCUGUGGUUCUGGCAUGUCCAUUGGGUGGAUCAGGGCUGUCCGGUGGCUUUAUCCUUUCUGUUCAGCAGGUGGUUCUGGAGUGCCCAGCACCUGGUUCUGGUGUGUCAGGCAGGUGGUUCCAGUAUGUACACCACAUUGUUCCAGCAAGUUUGGAUGGUGGUUUGGGCAUGUCUAGCAGGUGGUUCAGGCCUCUCCAGAAGGUGGUUCAGGUUGUCCGGCAGGUGGAUGAGUCGUGUCCAUCACCUGGUGCUGGCUUAUCUUGCUGGUGGUGCUGGCGUGCCCAGCAGGUUGUUCUGGACUGUCCGCCAAAUGAUUCAGGCAUAUCGGUCAAGUGGUUCAGUCUUCUCUGGCAGGUGGUUCAGGCCAGCCCAGAAGGUGGUUCCAGCGUGUCUGGCACCUGGUUCUGUCAUAUCUGACAGGUGGUUCCAGCGUGCCUGGCAUUUGGUUCCAGAGUGUCUGUCAAGUGGUUCAGGAGUAUCCGGCAGGUGGUUCUGUCUUGUCUGGCAGGUGGUUCAGUUUUGUCUGGCAGGUUGUUCUGGCAUGUCCGGCCAUUGGUUCCAGUGUGUCCAGCAGGUGGGUCCAAUGUGUCUGAGUGGUGAUUCCAGUGUGCCCAGUGGGUGGUUCUGGCAUGUCUGGCAGGUGGUUCCAGAGUGUAAGGGGCCUGGUUCCAGUGUAUCCAGCAGGUGCUUUUGGCCUGUCCAACAGGGGUUUCCACCAUGUCCAGCACUUGGUUCUGGCAUAUUCGGCAGGUGGUUUCAGUGUAUCUGGCACCUGGUUCUGGCAUAUCCAACAGGUGGUUCUGGUGUGUCUGGCAUGUGGUUCAGGUACAUUCAGAAGGUGGUUCUGGCAUGUCCAGUGGGUGCUUCUGGUGUGUCUGCGUGGUGGUUCCACAGUGUCCGGUGGGUGGUUCCAUCAACUCUGGUGGGUUGUUCCAGUGUAUAAGUGGCCUGGUUCUGGUGAGUCAAGCUGGUGGUUCUGGUGUGUCCAGCAGGUGGUUCAGGCAUGUCCAGCAUGUGGUUCAGGUCUGUCCAGAAGGUGGUUCUCACGUGUCCGGCUCCUUGUUCUGGCAUAUCUGGGACCCAGUUUUGGUGUGACAAAAAUGGCAAGUAAUAGGAUAUAUUGGAGUAUAUGAGGAGGCCAUCUGGUGUAAACCUACUUCAACCUGACCUUGUCUUUCCAAAACGGCCUGACCGUGGCCAUUGAGCAUGCAUUGUAUAUCUGCUUUAGAUAUUCCCUAUGGCAAGAACAAAGGCCCUUGAGAUAAAGGUGCAAGUUCCCUCCCUGUCCCAACGUUGGCAUUCCCUUAAGGAUUGAGCAUCUUUCCUUAGGCUAGGAACUGAUUGCUGUGCUCACCUGUGACCACCCAGCUUGAGACAAUAGGCUUGCCUCCUGUUACACCUGCCGAGAUAGCAGACCCACUACCUGCUGUGUUCAUCAAGCACUGUGCCAACAGGGCAAUCUUGUGACUAUUAUGGGAGGGACAUUUCAAUUAUAUGUGAAACAUCCUGUUUGGGGGUAUAUAACCACGCUGUAUACCUCACUUCUUUGGUGCCCUUUCUUCCUUCAGGAAGAAAGGCCCCGGGCCAUGGUCCUAACAUUUUAGCUCAGAAUAAACUCACCCAAAUUUUCAUUUAUAGAUUGCUUAUGGAUUAUUUUCAUCCACAGGCAUAUCCUUCAGGUGAUUUCAGCAUGUCCGGCAGGUUGUUCCAGCAUGCCAGACAGGUGGUUCUGGGUUCUCCAGCAGGUGGUUCUGGCAGUCCUACGACCUUGUUCUGCCGUAUCCCCUGCGUGCUUCCGGCGUGUCUAGCUGGUGGUUCUGGGAAGUCAGGCAGGUUGUCCCGGCAUGUCCUGCCAGUGGUUCAGCCAUGUUUGGAGAGUGGAUUAGUGUUGUCUAGCAGGUGAAUCAAACAAGUCCAGCAGUUGGUUGCAGCCUAUCCAGGGGUGGUUCCAGCGUGUCCAGAAGGUGGUUCCAUUGUGUCUGGCAUGUGGUUACGGCAUAUCCGGCAGGUGGUUCAUGCAAGACUGGCAGGUGGUUCAGGCGUGUCCAGAAGGUGGUUCUGGUGUGUCUGGCACCUGGUUCCUGUGUGCCCGGCAUGUGGUUCAAGAAUGUCCAUGAAGUGGUUCAGGAUGCUCCAGCAGGUGUUUCAGGCUUCUCUGGCAGCUGCUUCAGGCAUGUCCAGCACCUGGUUCUGGAGUGUGCUGGACCUGUUUCUGGUGUAUCCAGCUGAUGGUUCUGGCAUGUCUGGUAGGUGGUUCCAGCAUACCUGGCACAUGGUUUCAGCGUAUCUGACAGGUGAUUUGGAUGUGUCUGGCCAUCAUUUCUGGAGUGUCCGGCACCUGGUUCUGGUGAUUUCGGCAGGUGGUUUUAGUGAAUCCAGCACCUGGUCCCAGCAUAUCCAACAGGUGGUUCUGGAGUGUGUGGCAGGUCAUUCUUGCAUGUCUGGCAUGGGUUCAGGUACGUUCAGAAGGUGGUUCCAAUGUGUGCUUCUGGUUUGCCAGGCAGUUGGUUCAUGCAUGACUGGUGGGUGAUUCCAGUGUGUCUGGCAGGUGGUCCUGGAGCGUCCCGCCUGUGGUUGCGCUGUGUCCUGGACCUGAUUCCAGCAUGUGUGGAACAUGGUUCCAGUGUGUCCAAGUGGUGCUUCCAGUCUGUCUGGCAGGUGGUUCUGGGAUGUCUGGUGAGUGGUUCUGGGAUAUAAGGAGCCUGGUUCCAGCAUAUCCAGCAGGCAAUUUUGGCUUGUCCUGCUAGUGGUUCCGGCGAGUCAAGCAGUUGCCUCUGGUGUGUUGCGCAGGUGGUUCAGGCAUGUCCAGCAGGUGUUUCAGGCCUCUCCGUAAGGUGGUUCCGGUGUGUCCAGCAGUUGGUUCCAGUGUGUCAGGCAGGUGGUUCAGACGUUUCCAGUGGAUGGUUCUGGUAUGUCCAGUGGGUAGUUCCAGCGUGUCCAGAAGGUUGUUCAGGCAUGACUGUUAGUUGGUCCAGUUGCAUCUCGCACAUGGUCCAGGCAUGUCUGUCCCAUGGUCCAGGAAUUUCUGGAACAUGGUUCUAAUGUGUCCAAACGGUGGUUUCAGCAUGUCCAGCAUGUUGAUGAAAAUAAUCCAUAACCAAUCUAUAAAUAAAAAUUUCGGUGAGUUUAUUGUGAGCUUAAAUCUUAGGAUUAUAACCCGGGAGAGUCUUUCCACAAAGGGACAGAGCACUCCAAAGAAGUGGAGGUAUACAGGGUGGUUAUACACCCUCAAAGAGUAUGUUUCACAUAUGAUUGAAAUGUCCCUUUUACAAUAGUCACGAGGCUGCUCUGUCAGCACAGUGACUGAUGGAAACAGCAGAUAGGCCUGCUGUCUCAGUGAACCCCACAGACUGGCAGGUCUGUUGCCUCGAGCUGGGCAGUCACAGAUGAGUGCUGCAAUCAGUUCCCAGCCUAAAGAAAGAAGCUUAAUCUUUAAGGAGAUGCCACCAUUGGGAGGGGGAGGGAAGUUGCACCCUUAUCUCAAAAUGUCUAAGCAGAUAUGUAAUACAUGCUCAAUGGCCACAGUCAGACCCUUUUGGAAAACCAAAGUCAGGCCGAAUUAGGUUAAUACCAAAUGGCUUCCUCAUAUACUCCCAUAUAUCCUAUUGCUUGCCAUUUUUAUCUGUCAGGCACUUGAUUCAGGCCUCUCCGAGAGAUGCUUUGGGGGUGUCCUGCAGGUGGUCCAGGUGUGUCCAGCAAUAAGUUCUGGCAUGUCCGGCAUGUCCUUCCAGUAUGUCUGGCCUGUGGUUCUGGCAUGUCCAGCAGGCGGUUCCAGCGAGUCUGACAACUGGCUCCAGCCAGAUGCGUCUCCACCAGCUGACAGACACACCUGAACAUCCUUCCAGGCACACCAGAACUACCCACCAGACAUACCAGAACCAUCCAUGGGAAAUGCCUGAACCACCUGCCUGACACGCUGGAACCAACUGCUGAACACGUCAGAACCACCACCUGGAAAGUCUGGAACCACCCCCGCAGAUGUCAGUAUCGGGUCCUGGACAUGCCAGAAGCACAUGCCGGACAUGCUGGGACCACCUGCUGGAACAGCUGAAUCACCUGCCGGGCAUAAUGGAACCAAAUUCUGGACAAGCCAGAACCACCCAUGGACAUGCUGCAACCAACCACUGGACAUGACUGAUACACCUGCUGGGCAGCACUGAUCCACCUUCCAAACAUGACUGAGCGACCAGCCGGACAUGCAGGAACCAAGUGCCUGACACCCUGGAACCACCGGCCGGACAUGCCUGAACCACCUGCCUGACACCCCAGAAGCACCUGCCACACAAGCUGGAACCACCUGUUGGAUACGGCAGAACCAGGUGCCAGACAACGUGAAACCCCCUACCAGAUAUGCCUGAACCAGGUGCCAGACAUGUGAGAUUCACCUGCCUGACGUGACAGAAACACCUGCCAGACAUGCUGGAACAACCUGCUAGUCACGCCAAAGUCACCUUCUGGAUAUGCCAGAACCAGGUCCCAGAUAUGCCAGAACCAACUUCCGGACAGGCCAGAAAAACCUGCCGUACACACUGGAACCACCUUCGGUAACUGUCAGAGUCCAGUUCCAACAGAGUCCAGGUUCCUGAGGGAUGAACGGCUUUGGCAAAGGGAAUGAGACUGCACACUAAGUUGGUGAAAGCAAGUCUGAAGUCUUUAUUGUCAAGCGUGC